GACAGGGGGUGCAAACGUUGCUCGGAAUCACUGGGCGUAAAGGGCGUGUAGGCGGGAAGGAUAGUCAGAUGUGAAAUCCCCAGGCUCAACCUGGGAACUGCAUUUGAAACUCCCUUUCUUGAGUAUCGGAGAGGAAAGCGGAAUUCCUGGUGUAGAGGUGAAAUUCGUAGAUAUCAGGAGGAACACCAGUGGCGAAGGCGGCUUUCUGGACGGUUACUGACGCUGAGACGCGAAAGCGUGGGGAGCAAACAGG
rnacentral:rRNA from 1 species